CUUGGCGGGGGUGCUUUACCAUGCAAGUCGAACGCGAAAGUUUUCUUCGGAAGACGAGUAGAGUGGCGCACGGGUGAGUAACGCGUAAGUUAUCUACCUCGGCAUCUGGGAUAACUCACCGAAGGGUGUGCUAAUACCGGAUACGUUGAGUAAUCAAGGAAGGUGGCCUCUGAAUAUGCUACUGUGCUGAGAUGAGCUUGCGUACCAUUAGCUAGUUGGUAGGGUAAUGGCCUACCAAGGCAACGAUGGUUAGCGGGUCUGAGAGGAUGAUCCGCCACACUGGAACUGAAACACGGACCAGACUCCUACGGGAGGCAGCAGUGAGGAAUAUUGCGCAAUGGGGGCAACCCUGACGCAGCGACGCCGCGUGGAUGAUGAAGGCCUUCGGGUCGUAAAAUCCUGUCAAGUGGAAAGAAGUGCAUAAUGGCUAAUAUCCAUUAUGUUUGACGGUACCACUGAAGGAAGCACCGGCUAACUCCGUGCCAGCAGCCGCGGUAAUACGGAGGGUGCAAGCGUUGUUCGGAAUUACUGGGCGUAAAGCGCGCGUAGGCGGUUUGUUAAGUCAGAUGUGAAAGCCCUCGGCUCAACCGGGGACGUGCAUUUGAAACUGGCAGACUUGAGUAUUGGAGGGGGUGGUGGAAUUCCCGGUGUAGAGGUGAAAUUCGUAGAUAUCGGGAGGAAUACCGGUGGCGAAGGCGACCACCUGGCCAAAUACUGACGCUGAGGUGCGAAAGCGUGGGGAGCAAACAAGGAUUAGAUACCCUGGUAGUCCACGCCGUAAACGAUGAGAACUAGUGUUGGGACGGUUAUCGUCUCAUUGCCGCAGCUAACGCAUUAAGUUCUCCCGCCCUGGGGGGAGUACCGGUCGGCAAG
rnacentral:rRNA from 1 species